AUGAACGCUAGCUACAGGCUUAACACAUGCAAGUCGAGGGGCAGCAUGGUCUUAGCUUGCUAAGGCCGAUGGCGACCGGCGCACGGGUGAGUAACACGUAUCCAACCUGCCGUCUACUCUUGGACAGCCUUCUGAAAGGAAGAUUAAUACAAGAUGGCAUCAUGAGUCCGCAUGUUCACAUGAUUAAAGGUAUUCUGGUAGACGAUGGGGAUGCGUUCCAUUAGAUAGUAGGCGGGGUAACGGCCCACCUAGUCUUCGAUGGAUAGGGGUUCUGAGAGGAAGGUCCCCCACAUUGGAACUGAGACACGGUCCAAACUCCUACGGGAGGCAGCAGUGAGGAAUAUUGGUCAAUGGGCGCAGGCCUGAACCAGCCAAGUAGCGUGAAGGAUGACUGCCCUAUGGGUUGUAAACUUCUUUUAUAAAGGAAUAAAGUCGGGUAUGUAUACCCGUUUGCAUGUACUUUAUGAAUAAGGAUCGGCUAACUCCGUGCCAGCAGCCGCGGUAAUACGGAGGAUCCGAGCGUUAUCCGGAUUUAUUGGGUUUAAAGGGAGCGUAGAUGGAUGUUUAAGUCAGUUGUGAAAGUUUGCGGCUCAACCGUAAAAUUGCAGUUGAUACUGGAUAUCUUGAGUGCAGUUGAGGCAGGCGGAAUUCGUGGUGUAGCGGUGAAAUGCUUAGAUAUCACGAAGAACUCCGAUUGCGAAGGCAGCCUGCUAAGCUGCAACUGACAUUGAGGCUCGAAAGUGUGGGUAUCAAACAGGAUUAGAUACCCUGGUAGUCCACACCGUAAACGAUGGAUACUAGGUGUAGGAGAUAUUAAGUCUUCUGUGCCGUCGCAAACGCAAUAAGUAUCCCACCUGGGGAGUACGGCCGCAAGGUUGAAACUCAAAGGAAUUGACGGGGGCCCGCACAAGCAGUGGAGUAUGUGGUUUAAUUCGAAGCAACGCGAAGAACCUUACCAAGGCUUGACAUAUACAGGAAUAUUUAAGAGAUUAAAUAGCUCUUCGGAGUCUGUAUACAGGUGGUGCAUGGUUGUCGUCAGCUCGUGCCGUGAGGUGUCGGCUUAAGUGCCAUAACGAGCGCAACCCUUGUUGUCAGUUACUAACAGGUUCCGCUGAGGACUCUGACAAGACUGCCAUCGUAAGAUGUGAGGAAGGUGGGGAUGACGUCAAAUCAGCACGGCCCUUACGUCCGGGGCUACACACGUGUUACAAUGGGGGGUACAGAGGGCCGCUACCACGCGAGUGGAUGCCAAUCCCAAAAACCUCUCUCAGUUCGGACUGGAGUCUGCAACCCGACUCCACGAAGCUGGAUUCGCUAGUAAUCGCGCAUCAGCCACGGCGCGGUGAAUACGUUCCCGGGCCUUGUACACACCGCCCGUCAAGCCAUGGGAGCCGGGGGUACCUGAAGUGCGUAACCGCGAGGAGCGCCCUAGGGUAAAACUGGUGACUGGGGCU
rnacentral:rRNA from 1 species